rnacentral:lncRNA from 1 species
AGGGCCACAACCAUGGCAUAUGGAAGUUCUGCCAGGGGCUGAAUCGAACAGUAGCCACUGGCCUAUGCCACAGCCACAGCAAUGUGGGGUCCGAGCCAAGUCUGCAACCUACACCACAGCUCACAGCAAUGGCAGAUCCUUAACGCACUGAGCAAGGCAAGGGAUCGAACUCACUUCCUCAUGGAUACUAGUACAGUUCAUUAUUUCUGAGCCAUGAUGGGAACUCCAUGUAAGAAGCUGAAAUUAAUCACUGAAUUCAUAAGGUUAAUGAUAAGGUUAGAAUCAUCUAAACAAAUGGAUUAGUCUUUGAUCUGAAUAGAGAAGCUUAAAGUAGCUAAGUUAAUCUUUUCUAAAAAGGAAAGACAGCAAAAAUUUUUAAAUACUGGAAAUGAUUCUGGAAAUCACUGCAACUAAUUUCCUGUAGUUAAUGUUUGUGUUUUUUCAUCCCACAGCUGUUAACCAUUUUUGGUUAUAAGUUUGCAAAAACAAAUCACAAAUAAAAAUCAUAAGCAACCAAAACUGCAUUAAAGUUUUUUGCUACAAUCCCAUUUUAUGGUACAUACAUAAUAUUAUCCACUUGAAAUCUAUUAAAGUUUGGAAACAAAUGAAUUCCUACAACUUACUGGGUUUAUUAAGGACUAUAGGGCGGAAAAAAAAAUCUCAGUGACCAACUGUCUGUAUUUCCUCCCAAAUACUUCAAUAAAAAGGAUAGGUGAACUCAUGAGACAAAUAUAAUACAUUGAGAAAAUCGGUUGAAGUCACAAAAACUAAAGCUUCUUUAAAAGAAAACCCAGUUUCUCUUUAACACUGAAUUACUUUUCUUUCCUUCAUAACACCAUCUUUUGGUAAAAGAACUGUCUUACCUUGGCCUUAAUUACUUCUCUUACAUGGUCUUUAACUUACUGCAACUGACUUAAUUCUCUUGAAUUUGUUUUCCUCAAAUUGUACUGUAUAAAUAAUACCAAACAGGAAUAGAUGGCGUGUAAAAAACAUUUUCAGAUAUUCUAAAUGCUUUACUUGCAUUUAUUUAUUUAAUCCUAACAAGAGCCCUAGGAGGCAAUUACCUUUAUUUAUACCUGUUCUUUGGAGUGUGGAAAUUGGAAAACAAAGAUUCAGUAUUUUGUGGCAGACCUAGGAUCUGAUCCCAGUAGUCUAGUUCCAUGCGCUUAACCACAGUGACCCACUAAUUUUUCAAUCAGUGAUCAUCCUUAUAAAACAGUGUACAGGAGUUCCCGUCGUGGCGCAGUGGUUAACGAAUCCGACUAGGAACCAUGAGAGGUUGCCCCCUGCCCCCAGUUCUCCCCGCCCCCAGUUCUCCCACAGACAUAUACUCACAGGUGCAGAUGUACUGUGUGCUCUACAUUACUCUAAAGUAGGGGCAGACAGCAUUUCCCCUGCAGUGUUAUCGAAGGGCUUUAUUACAGUUUCUAUCGCAGGCUCUGGGUAGCUCUGAAACAGAUCCUCCCACCCAAUCAGCUCUGACCAGCGCUAUAACAAGGUAAGCAUCCCCAGCACUGAUAUCUCUCCCUUGAUGAAAUGACAGCAUGAAAAUAAAAAUAACUGCUUUACAAGAGCUUUUCCAUAGUCAGGAAAAGUCCACACAGAGGGCCCUUUAAAAUGACCCUUUCUAAAGAAAGGCGAAGAGGUUGCAAAGGCUGGAAGAGGCAGAAACAUGAGGACAAAUCAGGCCAAAGGGCAAAGGCAUGUGCUAUGCUUGACUUUACAUGCAGGGCACAAUCAGUCAUAUGAAUUUAUGAUAUUAAACUUGCAGUUUAUGUGCUGAAGAUUUCCAUAUUAUUAAGGAAAUUUUACAACAGAAACAAAAGUAGACAAAAUAAUAUAAUGAACUUUCAGGUACUUCCCACUCAGUUUUAAAAAUUAUUGGAGUUUCCGUUGUG